ACCAGGGGAAUCCGACUGUUUAAUUAAAACAAAGCAUCGCAAAGGCCCAAGGCAGGUGUUGACGCGAUGUGAUUUCCUCCCAGUGCUCUGAGAAUGUCAAAGUGAAGAAAUUCAAUGAAGCGCGGAUAUAAGGGCGGGAGUAACUAUGACUCUCUUAAGGUAGCCAAAUGCCUCGUCAAGCAAGCUACAGCAGCUCACUUCAGUCAAGGAUAAUUUCCC
rnacentral:ncRNA from 1 species